rnacentral:rRNA from 1 species
GUCGUCAGCUCGUGUCGUGAGAUGUUUGGUUAAGUCCAGCAACGAGCGCAACCCUUAUUGUCUGUUGCCAUCAUUUAGUUGGGCACUCUGACAAGACUGCCGGUGAUAAGCCGGAGGAAGGCGGGGACGACGUCAAGUCAUCAUGGCCCUUACGUGUGGGGCUACAAACGUGCUACAAUGGUAGUGACAGUGAGCAGCCAGGCCGCGAGGUCGAGCUAAUCUCAAAAAGCUAUCUCAGUUCAGAUUGCACUCUGCAACUCGAGUGCAUGAAGUCGGAAUCGCUAGUAAUCGCGCAUCAGCGUGUCGCGGUGAAUACGUUCCCGGGUCUU